rnacentral:rRNA from 1 species
AUUGAACGCUGGCGGCAGGCCUAACACAUGCAAGUCGAGCGGAUGAAGGGAGCUUGCUCCUGGAUUCAGCGGCGGACGGGUGAGUAAUGCCUAGGAAUCUGCCUGGUAGUGGGGGAUAACGUCCGGAAACGGGCGCUAAUACCGCAUACGUCCUGAGGGAGAAAGUGGGGAUCUUCCGACCUCACGCUAUCAGAUGAGCCUAGGUCGGAUUAGCUAGUUGGUGGGGUAAAGGCCUACCAAGGCGACGAUCCGUAACUGGUCUGAGAGGAUGAUCAGUCACACUGGAACUGAGACACGGUCCAGACUCCUACGGGAGGCAGCAGUGGGGAAUAUUGGACAAUGGGCGAAAGCCUGAUCCAGCCAUGCCGCGUGUGUGAAGAAGGUCUUCGGAUUGUAAAGCACUUUAAGUUGGGAGGAAGGGCAGUAAGUUAAUACCUUGCUGUUUUGACGUUACCAACAGAAUAAGCACCGGCUAACUUCGUG